GGGUCACUGUUUGUUAAUCUGUUCAUGUGCAUUGUUUCAAUUGUCAGUUGUUGAAAACGAUUGCUGGCGAGGAGCAUGACUUGCAGAAAGCAAAUCAGAGCCUUUACAUUCUUCAGAGAGAUAAAUGUAGCAACAUCAAGACGAUUGGUAAACCUGUGGUCCACAAUACAAGGUUCCAGCAACAAGGAGACUGGAUGAAAGACCCGCUUGAAGUCAUGGGUGCUGAGACUAUAUUUGUUAUGGAGUAUUAUAGUGGAAAUGUACUUGAAGAGUAU